rnacentral:rRNA from 1 species
GGAAUGAGUAGCGCGAAUGCAGUGAGAAUCUGCAUGGCCGAAAGCCUCAGGUUUUUGGAGGAAGGUUCGUCCGCUCCAAGUAAGUCGGGAGCUAAGGUCAGGCCGAAAGGCGUAGCCGAUGCACAUACGGUUGAUAUUCCGUAACCAUCUGUAAUUUAAGCAAAGGGACACUUCAAAAGGGUGUGACCCGGGCGUUGGUUGACCCGGGCGUAAGGGACCGAAAUUAGAGUAGGGAAGCACACUUGGCUGAAGGCGAGAAAAGCUUUGCGUAUAGAAACAGAUGCCCGUACCGCAAACCGACACAGGUGGACAGGAAGAGAAUUCUAAGGCCAGCGGGAGAAGGGUAGUUAAGGAACUCGGCAAAUUGACUCCGUAACUUCGGAAUAAGGAGUGCUCGAAAGAGCCGCAGAGAAUAGGCCCAGGCGACUGUUUAGCAAAAACACAGGUCUCUGCCAAAUCGAAAGAUGAAGUAUAGGGGCUGACACCUGCCCGGUGCCGGAAGGUUAAGAGGAGGAGUGAGAGCUCCGAAUUGAAGCCCCGGUAAACGGCGGCCGUAACUAUAACGGUCCUAAGGUAGCGAAAUUCCUUGUCGGGUAAGUUCCGACCCGCACGAAUGGUGUAACGAUCUGGGCACUGUCUCAACUACCCACCCGGCGAAAUUGUAGUACCGGUGAAGAUGCCGGUUACCUGCGGCAAGACGGAAAGACCCCAUGGAGCUUUACUGUAGCCUGAUAUUGGGUUUCGGAAAUCUAUGUACAGGAUAGGCGGGAGACUGGGAAACAUGAGCGUCAGCUUAUGUGGAGUCGAUGUUGGGAUACCGCCCUUAGGUUUCUGGAAUUCUAACCUGCGGCCGUGAAUCCGGUCGGGGGACAUUGUCAGGUGGGCAGUUUGACUGGGGCGGUCGCCUCCGAAAAGGUAACGGAGGCGCUCAAAGGUUAGCUCAGCACGGACGGAAACCGUGCCUCUGAGUGUAAACGCAAAAGCUAGCCUAACUGCGAGGGUGACGGCCCGAGCAGUAACGAAAGUUGGAGUUAGUGAUCCGGCGGUAUGUGAAUGGAAAUGCCGUCGCUCAACGGAUAAAAGCUACCCUGGGGAUAACAGGCUGAUCUCCCCCAAGAGUCCACAUCGACGGGGAGGUUUGGCACCUCGAUGUCGGCUCAUCGCAUCCUGGGGCUGAAUUCGGUCCCAAGGGUUGGGCUGUUCGCCCAUUAAAGCGGUACGCGAGCUGGGUUCAGAACGUCGUGAGACAGUUCGGUCCCUAUCUGUCGUGGGCGCAGGAUAUUUGAGGAGCUCUGUCCUUAGUACGAGAGGACCGGGAUGGACGUACCUCUGGUGCACCAGUUGUCAUGCCAAUGGCACGGCUGGGCAGCUAUGUACGGAACGGAUAAACGCUGAAAGCAUCUAAGCGUGAAGCCGACUCCAAGAUUAGAUAUCCCAUCGUAUAACGAGUAAGACCCCUUGAAGACUACGAGGUUGAUAGGCUGCGUGUGUAAGUGCCGUGAGGCAUUCAGCUUGGCAGUACUAAUAGGUCGAGGGCUUGACCA